rnacentral:rRNA from 1 species
UACGGGGGGGGCAAGCGUUGUUCGGAAUUACUGGGCGUAAAGGGCUCGUAGGUGGCCAACUAAGUCAGACGUGAAAUCCCUCGGCUUAACCGGGGAACUGCGUCUGAUACUGGAUGGCUUGAGUUUGGGAGAGGGACGCGGAAUUCCAGGUGUAGCGGUGAAAUGCGUAGAUAUCGGGAGGAAUACCAGUGGCGAAGGCGGCGACCUGGGCCAAUACUGACGCUGAGGUGCGAAAGCGUGGGGAGCAAACAGG